rnacentral:rRNA from 1 species
GACGAACGCUGGCGGCGUGCUUAACACAUGCAAGUCGAACGGAAAGGCCCUGCUUUUGUGGGGUGCUCGAGUGGCGAACGGGUGAGUAACACGUGAGUAACCUGCCCUUGACUUUGGGAUAACUUCAGGAAACUGGGGCUAAUACCGGAUAGGAGCUCCUGCUGCAUGGUGGGGGUUGGAAAGUUUCGGCGGUUGGGGAUGGACUCGCGGCUUAUCAGCUUGUUGGUGGGGUAGUGGCUUACCAAGGCUUUGACGGGUAGCCGGCCUGAGAGGGUGACCGGCCACAUUGGGACUGAGAUACGGCCCAGACUCCUACGGGAGGCAGCAGUGGGGAAUAGUGCACAAUGGGCGGAAGGCUGAUGCAGCAACGCCGCGUGCGGGGUGACGGCCUUCGGGUUGUAAACCGCUUUCGCCUGUGACGAAGCGUGAGUGACGGUAAUGGGUAAAGAAGCACCGGCUAACUACGUG